AAAAGACUUAGUCCUAACCUUACUAUUAAUUUCUACCAAACAUAUACAUGCAAGUAUCCGCGCCCCAGUGUAAAUGCCCUUAAUCCCUUUACCAAAGAAAAAGGAGCAGAUAUCAGGCGCGCUCCCCCACCGUAGCCCAAGACGUCUUGCUUAGCCACACCCCCACGGGCACUCAGCAGUAAUUAACAUUAAGCAAUAAGUGUAAACUUGACUUAGUUAUGGUAAUACCCAGGGUUGGUAAAUCUUGUGCCAGCCACCGCGGUCACACAAGGAACCCAAAUUAAUAGUAUACGGCGUAAAGAGUGGGACAACGCUAUCAUAACAACUAGGACCGAAAUGCAACUAAGCUGUCAUAAGCCUAAGAUGCGCCUAAGACCUACCUCAAAACGACCCUAGCACCUUCGACUAACUCAACCCCACGAAAGCCAAGGUACAAACUGGGAUUAGAUACCCCACUAUGCUUGGCCCUAAAUCCUGAUGCUUCCCUCACUAAAGCAUCCGCCUGAGAACUACGAGCACAAACGCUUAAAACUCUAAGGACUUGGCGGUGCCCCAAACCCACCUAGAGGAGCCUGUUCUAUAAUCGAUAAUCCACGUUACACCCGACCGCUCCUCGCCAGAGCAGCCUACAUACCGCCGUCGCCAGCCCACCUCUACUGAGAGUGCAACAGUGAGCACAACAGCCUAAAUCGCUAGCAAGACAGGUCGAGGUAUAGCCCACGGAGCGGAAGAAAUGGGCUACAUUUUCUAAAAUAGAAAACCCACGAAAAGGGACAUGAAACUCUCCCUGGAAGGCGGAUUUAGCAGUAAAGCGGGAUAAUAAAGCCCCCUUUAAGCUGGCUCUGAGGCACGUACAUACCGCCCGUCACCCUCCUCAUAAGCUACAAACCACUAAUAAAUAAUACCCCUCCUAGCUGAAGAUGAGGCAAGUCGUAACAAGGUAAGUGUACCGGAAGGUGCACUUAGCAUAUC
rnacentral:ncRNA from 1 species